GAUGAACGCUAGCGAUAGGCUUAACACAUGCAAGUCGAGGGGCAGCACAAGGUAGCUUGCUAUCUGGGUGGCGACCGGCGCACGGGUGCGUAACGCGUAUGCAACUUGCCCUAUACAGGUGGAUAACCCGUCGAAAGACGGACUAAUACUGCGUAUGCUCACAACUUGGCAUCAAGUGGUGAGGUAAGAAAUUCGGUAUAGGAUAGGCAUGCGUCCCAUUAGCUUGUUGGUGAGGUAACUGCUCACGAAGGCAACGAUGGGUAGGGGAAAUGAGAGGUUUGUCCACCACAAUGGGAGUGAGACACGGAGCAGACUCAUAUGGGAGGCAGAAGUGAGGAAGAUGGGGCAAUGGGGGAGAGCAUGAAACAGGCAAGUCGCGUGAAGGAAGACUGUCUUAUGGAUAGUAAACUUCUUUUAUACGAGAAUAACAAGAGUCACGAGUGAGUGCGUGCAUGUACCGUAUGAAUAAGCAUCGGCUAACUCCGUG
rnacentral:rRNA from 1 species